AUUGAACGCUGGCGGCAGGCCUAACACAUGCAAGUCGAGCGAGCGGCGGACGGGUGAGUAAUGUAUGGGGACUGCCCGAUAGAGGGGGAUAACUACUGGAAACGGUGGCUAAUACCGCAUACUAUCGGAUAACCCAUAUGGGAUUUGCUAGUAGGGGGGGUAAAGGCUCACCUAGGCGACGAUCACUAGCUGGUCUGAGAGGAUGAUUAGCCACCCGGGGACUGAGACACGGCCCAGACUCCUACGGAGGCAGCAGUGGGGAAUAUUGCACAAUGGGGGCAAGCCGGAUGCAGCCAUGCCGCGGUUAUGAAGAAGGCCUUAGGGUGGUAAAGUACUGUCAGCGGGGAGGCGUUACCCGCAGAAGAAGCACCGGCUAACUCCGUGCCAGCAGCCGCGGUAAUUC
rnacentral:rRNA from 1 species